GUUCUCGUUCUCUCUCCAUCCCCUGUGACAUACCACUUGUUGCCUCGGCGGAUCAGCCCGCUCCCGGUAAAACGGGACGGCCCGCCAGAGGACCCCUAAACUCUGUUUCUAUAUGUGAGGGAUCAUUAGCGCGUUUACAACUCCGGAACCCCUGUGAACAUACCUUAUGUUGCCUCGGGCAUCGAUGAAGAACGCAGCAAAAUGCGAUAAGUAAUGUGAAUUGCAGAAUUCAGUGAAUCAUCGAAUCUUUGAACGCACAUUGCGCCCGCCAGUAUUCUGGCGGGCAUGCCUGUUCGAGCGUCAUUUCAACCCUCAAGCACAGCUUGGUGUUGGGACUCGCGUUAAUUCGCGUUCCUCAAAUUGAUUGGCGGUCACGUCGAGCUUCCAUAGCGUAGUAGUAAAACCCUCGUUACUGGUAAUCGUCGCGGCCACGCCGUUAAACCCCAACUUCUGAAUGUUGACCUCGGAUCAGGUAGGAAUACCCGCUGAACUUAAGCAUAUCAAUAAGGCGGAGGAAUUGCAUAGAUCAGGUAAGAAAUUCCGCUGAACUUAACCUCCCCUUCAGCGGAGAAAGAAAAACACACCAAAACCCCCCAAG
rnacentral:rRNA from 1 species